rnacentral:rRNA from 1 species
CUCCUACGGGAGGCUGCAGUAGGGAAUAUUGGACAAUGGGUGAGAGCCUGAUCCAGCCAUGCCGCGUGCAGGAAGAAAGCCUUCUGGGUUGUAAACUGCUUUUGCCAGGGGAUAAAAUACUCGUGCGCGAGGAAUUGAAAGUACGUGGUGAAUAAGCCACGGCUAACUACGUGCCAGCAGCCGCGGUAAUACGUAGGUGGCAAGCGUUGUCCGGAUUUAUUGGGUUUAAAGGGUGCGUAGGCGGUCAAAUAAGUCAGUGGUGAAAUACGUCAGCUUAACUGUCGAGGUGCCAUUGAUACUGUUUGACUUGAGUACUGAUGAGGUAGGCGGAAUGGACGGUGUAGCGGUGAAAUGCUUAGAGAUCGUCCAGAACACCGAUAGAGAAGGCUGCUUACUAAGGAGUAACUGACGCUGAGGCACGAAAGUGUGGGGAUCAAACAGGAUUAGAUACCCUGGUAGUCCACACUGUAAACGAUGAUUACUGGAUGUUGGCGAUACACAGCCAGCGU